UCACACUCUAGGAAACGCGCUUACCCAAAAUCCCUCGGGAGGUGGCAAACCCUGACCUUCGUCUCGCGAGGCCCCGCGAGGCUCCCAGCUCACGGGUUGUUUUCCCUUGGAUGAAGGACAUCAAACUCAUUACAAAGUUAUUUCGUUUCCACUUGAAAGUUUCAGUGGUGAGGUCGGUUGCAGGCUGCUGAAGUCUCAGUACUGCUCCUAGACGCAGGUGAAGGGACCCACAGGCUGUUUCCGUUGCUCUCCAGGGAUCUGCGGUUUAUACAAAGGUGCUCUGAACAUGCAGUUUUAACCUCUACUGAUUCAAGGACUCCGUCAUCAUCCCAUUUUCCAGGAACCGUGGGAAGGCUUAGAAUGGAUUGAAGCAUUCUUCCUCUUCCAGGACUUGGGG